AUGGGUAAGCCUAGAGGGAAGGCCAAGAAAUCCGCUGAGGAUGCGAGGGACGACGACGACGGCAGUGGCAGCGAAGAGGCCGCUCCGACCGACCACAAGAGGAGCGGCAGUCCUCUGAAGCCUCUCGGGGACGACGGAGCCGGCGAAGAAGUGGAGGACAUCGCCAAGGUCGCGGAGGCCGCAGACAGCGUGAAACCGGUCGUGCCAACCAAGGGUGCCGACGGCACGGUUGGCGGUAAAGUUCCUGACGGAGCGAUGAAGAGGCCGCGGCGGCGCCAGCGGCGUCUGCAGGUGAAGCGAAGCUCCGAGUCGGUUGAGGACGUCGGCGACAAAGACGGUGACGACGUGAGGACGAAAUCGAACGGGUUCCGGCGAAACGGAAGCCGCCGGAAGAACUCUACUCCCCGGCGGGCAGCCGAGGCGGGAGACCCGGCCGUACCCGUGUUGCAUGAGUCGACAACGACCAGUAGCUGCCGGCCACCGAUGUGCAACCGGCAUGUCAUUUUGCUGGAACUGACGGACGAGAAGUUGCGACCACACACAACUAUUGCCGGAACCAGCCAGCCAGCAAGGUCGUUUUUCCUGCAAUCGACAUUUUUUUUCUAG
rnacentral:rRNA from 1 species